rnacentral:rRNA from 1 species
GAAAGUAAAUAAGGGCGCAUGGCGGAUGCCUUGGCUCUCGGAGGCGAUGAAGGACGUGAUAAGCUGCGAUAAGCUUUGGGGAGGUGCAAAUGACCUUUGAUCCAGAGAUUUCCGAAUGGGACAACCCAAUAUCUUGAAGAGGUAUUAUCCAACGUUGUUGGAGGCUAACGCAGGGAACUGAAACAUCUUAGUACCUGCAGGAAAAGAAAAUAAACAAUGAUUCCCCCAGUAGUGGCGAGCGAACGGGGAACAGCCCAAACCAUCCAUGUUACGGCAUGGGUGGGGUUGUAGGACUACGCCGUUGCAUGAAGACAUCAGAGAAGAACUUUCUGGAAAGAAAGACCAUAGAGCAUGACAGUUGCGUAUUCGAAUGUUGUCGAAGCAUAGUAGUAUCCUGAGUAGCGCGGAGCACGAGGAAUUCUGCGUGAAUCUGCCGGGACCAUCCGGUAAGGCUAAAUACUCCCGAGAGACCGAUAGCGAACCAGUACCGUGAGGGAAAGGUGAAAAGCACUUCGAACAGAAGAGUGAAAUAGUUCCUGAAACCGUGCGCCUACAAGCGGUCGGAGCUCGUUAAUGAGUGACGGCGUGCCUUUUGCAUAAUGAACCUACGAGUUGCCUUUGCCGGCAAGGUUAAGUGUGACGACACACGUAUCCGAAGCGAAAGCGAGUCUGAACAGGGCGUAUAGUCGGCAGUGGCAGACGCGAAACCAAGUGAUCUACCCUUGGCCAGGUUGAAGGCUGGGUAACACCAGCUGGAGGACCGCACCAAUAAGCGUUGAAAAGCUUCUGGAUGAGCUGAGGGUAGGGGUGAAAGGCUAAUCAAACUUGGAGAUAGCUCGUACUCCCCGAAAUGCAUUUAGGUGCAGCCUUGCGGGUUACUGAUGUGAGGUAGAGCGACUGAUAAGAUGCGAGGGCUUCACCGCCUAUCAAGUCUUGACAAACUCCGAAUGCGCAUCAGUUCUACCGCAGGAGUGAGGGCAUGGGUGCUAAGGUCCGUGCCCGAGAGGAGAAGAAUCCGGACCACCUGCUAAGGUCCCGAAAUGACAGCUAAGUUAAACUAACGAAGUCUGACUGCUAAGACAGCUAGGAUGUUGGCUUGGAAGCAGCCAUUCAUUUAAAGAGUGCGUAACAGCUCACUAGUCGAGGAGUCGGGCGUGGAUAAUAAUCGGGUAUCAAGUUGUCUACCGAAGCAGUGGGAUCAUUAAUAUGAUCGGUAGGGGAGCAUUCCAGUCAGCGUCGAAGGCGUACCGUGAGGUAUUCUGGAGCGUCUGGAAAAGCAAAUGUAGGUAUAAGUAACGAUAAAGGGGGCGGGAAACCCCCUCGCCGAAAGACUAAGGUUUCCUGAUCAACGCUAAUCGGAUCAGGGUCAGUCGGGUCCUAAGGCUCAGCCGAACGGCGAUGCCGAUGGCAGAAACGGUUAAUAUUCCGUUACUACCUUCAGGAGUGACGUGGAGACGCAGUAGUGACAGUGCCGCCAUCUGACGGAAUAGAUGGUUGAAGGGUGUAGGAGUCGAUCAUGGCAGGCAAAUCCACCAUGAGAUCCGAACCUGACAGUAUGCCGCGUCCUUCGGGACAAGGCAAUAGUGCGCGUAAGCAUGCUGCCGAGAAAAUCCGCUAAACUUAAUCCUGCAGGUACCCGUACCGCAAACGGACACACGUAGUCGGGAUGAAUAUUCUAAGGCGCUUGAGUGAUUCACGGUUAAGGAACUAGGCAAACUGACCCUGUAACUUCGGGAUAAAGGGUCCCUACCCUUUUAUGGGAGGGCGCAGAGAAUCGGUCCAGGCAACUGUUUAACAAAAACACAGGGCUGUGCCAAAUCGAAAGAUCCAGUAUACAGCCUGACACCUGCCCGGUGCUGGAAGGUUAAGAGGAGAUGUCAUCGAUAAGAGAAGCGUUGAAUUGAAGCCCCAGUAAACGGCGGCCGUAACUAUAACGGUCCUAAGGUAGCGAAAUUCCUUGUCGGGUAAGUUC